CGGUGAAUACGUUCCCGGGCCUUGUACACACCGCCCGUCAAGCCAUGGAAGCUGGGUGUACCUAAAGUCGAUAACCGCAAGGAGUCGCCUAGGGUAAAACUAGUAACUGGGGCU
rnacentral:rRNA from 1 species